rnacentral:tRNA from 1 species
GUGGGUAUAGCUCAGUGGUAGAGCAUGCCUGAGGCCCUGGGUUCCAUCCCCAGUACCUCA